GUACUUCUCUUUCCUGUUUCAGUAUGAGGCUGUCUCCUCACAGCUGGAGGACCCAUCUCUUCUCAGCCUGUGGUCAAGCACCAUGAAAAUGGGGAAAAUUUCAGGGAAUCGGGAAUGGACAGGUCACCACAGAGAAAACUUCAUGUCGUACGGAUGUAGAACAACUAAGAACUCGUUUCCGGACCCCAGGCUCGUUACACUGGAUGGUAUUAUGAAACGGUGGGAGGCAAAGAAGGAGAACUAGACUUCGUGCUGAAUGGACAGUUGUGAGAAGCCGGUACUAUUCAGUCAUUGGCAAGCAGCUUGCAGACAUUGGGAGUAAAGAGCCUGAUCAAUGGAAUGAAGUGUUACUGCUGGGGAAGUCAGAUGGCAGUGCAUAAUCCCACUUCUUACUCUGAGUGGAGGGGGCAGAAGAUGCUCAAGAUUCCACAGGCCAUAAAGUCUUUCUUUUCCCUCCUGCUUAAAAAAGGAACUAUUGCGUGGCUAUCUACAUCACCAAGAAGGUGACCAUGAACAGGAGCUUCUUCCAUUUUCUCAUCCAUUACGCUCACCUGUUUUACCUGUGUUUGCCUUGGGUUUGGUUGGGAAGAACUAACAGCUUGUGCACAGAGUCUCACUUCCACUGAUGAUAAUUGGGAAUUUGCAGUUGCCUACUGAAUCUGAAUGGUUCCUUAUGCCCACUACAUCUCAAGCAAUAGAUGAAGGGGAGCUGAAUAACUGUAAGAAGAUGGGAUACUUCCAAGACAACAAAUAAAAAAGAAGAGUAAAUGCGCACAGAGGAAGAUACUGCUGCUGUGCCUGGUAGUAUUGCUAAUUCCAGAAAUCUAGAUGAAAACCUUCAUGGCAGGAAUCAUUUCAUUAGGGAUCAGAUGGAAGUGAUCUCUGUGCUGGAGCUGCCAGGCAACAAAAUGGGUUGAAAACAGAGCUCAUCCAAGAUAUGAGCCACAGAAAACAAUGCAAAAAUUGAUACUGACUUUGGAAGGCUUGGGUUCAGUCCCCUACAGUGGCUUCAGCUUCUCCUGUAACUAGGAAUACAACUCAGUAGAUGCAGUCAUGGCAUUACUGAGGUCCAUAGUCCAAUGCAAUCCCUGGGAUCCUUUCCAUUUGCUCCAAGAUCUGUCUGUGACACUUUGUUUUAUGGUAUACAUAAAAGAACUUUGUACCCUAACAAAAAGAGGCUGUACAAAGGACCAUUGUGCAGGGAGUUAUACUUAUUUUAUCUUUAUUUUAUCUAUCAUGCAGAAUUUAUGGAAAUAAAUCUGUCUUUUAGGCCUUCUCAGCAUAGAGAACACUGGAAAAUUACUUAAGUCUAUCUAUUUAUUGCUCUAAAUGUGCCUGCCCAACAAAGAGUGAAGCCCUUGCUGUUGCUGUUAUA